rnacentral:rRNA from 1 species
GUGCCAGCAGCCGCGGUAAUACGUAGGUGGCAAGCGUUGUCCGGAUUUAUUGGGCGUAAAGCGAGCGCAGGCGGUUUCUUAAGUCUGAUGUGAAAGCCUUCGGCUCAACCGAAGAAGUGCAUCGGAAACUGGGAAACUUGAGUGCAGAAGAGGACAGUGGAACUCCAUGUGUAGCGGUGAAAUGCGUAGAUAUAUGGAAGAACACCAGUGGCGAAGGCGGCUGUCUGGUCUGUAACUGACGCUGAGGCUCGAAAGCAUGGGUAGCAAACAGGAUUAGAUACCCUGGUAGUCCAUGCCGUAAACGAUGAGUGCUAGGUGUUGGAGGGUUUCCGCCCUUCAGUGCCGCAGCUAACGCAUUAAGCACUCCGCCUGGGGAGUACGACCGCAAGGUUGAAACUCAAAGGAAUUGACGGGGGCCCGCACAAGCGGUGGAGCAUGUGGUUUAAUUCGAAGCAACGCGAAGAACCUUACCAGGUCUUGACAUCCUUUGACCACUCUAGAGAUAGAGCUUUCCCUUCGGGGACAAAGUGACAGGUGGUGCAUGGUUGUCGUCAGCUCGUGUCGUGAGAUGUUGGGUUAAGUCCCGCAACGAGCGCAACCCUUAUUACUAGUUGCCAGCAUUUAGUUGGGCACUCUAGUGAGACUGCCGGUGACAAACCGGAGGAAGGUGGGGACGACGUCAAAUCAUCAUGCCCCUUAUGACCUGGGCUACACACGUGCUACAAUGGAUGGUACAACGAGUCGCGAGACCGCGAGGUUUAGCUAAUCUCUUAAAACCAUUCUCAGUUCGGAUUGUAGGCUGCAACUCGCCUACAUGAAGCCGGAAUCGCUAGUAAUCGCGGAUCAGCAUGCCGCGGUGAAUACGUUCCCGGGCCUUGUACACACCGCCCGU